rnacentral:misc_RNA from 1 species
UGUCAGAGAGUGCUAAGCUACGAAUGUCUCAAAAUUAUACAUCAAUUUCAGACUUGAUAAAGGAUAUGAAGUCUUUUUUACUACCAAAAAAGUCUGAUACUGCGAUCCAAUCGCAGUUGCAGCGAGCAAAACAAGGUGGGAGGACUAUAGAAGACUUUGGUAAGGAUAUUGAAUCUAUGUUUGUUGGCAAUUAGAGGCGCAAUGGACGAGGAAUUAUCAGCGCAGCCAGAAGGAACAGUUAUGAGUUAUGGACACACAAGAGGUAGGUCAUCAGUUUAUAAUAACCAUAAUAGUCGUGGUUAUAGACAAAGAUAUUUUAACAGUUAUAACAGACGCCCCGAUACAUCUUCAACGGCGUUGGCUACAGUUCGCGGUAGAGGUACGGUAACAAAUUUUUCACGUCAUCGUACUCGUACUAACAAUAGGGGUCGUUCAUAUUCUCGUCGCGGGAACCGUAGCAAUACAAAUACUUUUAAUCGAGGC